ensembl:lncRNA PSMG3-AS1 PSMG3 antisense RNA 1 (head to head)
AGGGCUUGGGGGCGCCUUAGAGCCGAACCCCGUUUUUUCAGGAAAGGGCGCUGCGACCACCCCCGUCCCGGGCCUCAGCCCCUCUGCUGCAGACCCUCGGGAUCGUCGCUGGGUCUUGCUCCGUCGCCCAGUCUGGAGUGCAGUGGCAAGAUCUCUGCUCAGUGCAGCCUUGAACUCUCAGGCUCAAGAAAUCUUCCCGCCUCAGCCUCCCAAAGUGCUGGGAUUACAGAUUCGAUUGCUGUAGGGACCCCGUGGGUGUGGAAUCAGACAGUAUUGGUCCUUUCAUGACUGGCUUAUUUCACAAAACCCGAUGCCGUCGAGGUCCAUCCAUGCUGAGAUAUUUACGGAGCAUCCCCAGCUGCUGGAUGCUGGGACCCACCAGUGGGCAAGAGGGCCGUGCCCACCCCUUCCUGGAAGAGACACUCACUCAGUAAAUGCAGAGAUUCAGUGUUGGGGUAACCCCAGCACACAGCCCUGAGGGAGGAAGCCCAGUGAUUUGAUCGGAUUUGCUUUUCUCUUCUGCCUCGGAUUCUGUCCAACCCCUGGAAGGACCUCUGAGGUGUCCCGUGGCUGGUUCUAGGCCCCA